UACAAUGGUGUAAACCAAACUUACUAUUUAUUGUAAUAAGUAAUAUGUAAUAAUAUAUAUUUAAACCAUUAUAUAUUCAAAGGUAACAGCACAAAGCUAAGGUCAAGGGUUCAAUUCCCAUGAAACACAUGGUGAUAAAAUGCACACAUUAAUAAUCUGUGUCGUCACCAUUAUAUAGCGCUUCAUACAGACUUUUUCAAAGCAGCUUCACAGUAGUAAAAAACAAAAAAAUAUGCCAUGAUGCAAACAUGACAUAUGAGACAAGUUCAAAUUCUGCUGUAAAACAGCUCUAAAAAGACAAAUGAAUCAUUUUUAAGCUCAAGUCAGUUGAGUGUUGAUUCAGUUCAGUUCAAUAACUAUAAGUUAUUAAUUUAUGUUAAUAAUUGUAUAUAAGUUAAUCAAUUAUGAGGCCAGUUCAAUGCAGAUGUACAGGUGACAAUAGUGUCGUUACUCAGCUCAAGUCAGUUCAAUGUUGAUUCAGUUCGUUUCAAUCAGUGUCGAGGAAUCAUGAAUUCGAGGUAUAAAUCAUCUCUACAAUAGAGUCGUCUUCCAGCUUAAUUCAAUUCAAGUUUUCUUAUCUUGCGAUAAUGUCUGUUUUGUCAAAUUGAUAAUAUUACUGAAUAUGAAUGUCCUUGAAACCCCAACUAAGCAAGCCAAAUGAAAAAGUGGAAGGGAACCCAAAAUUCAUCAGGUAACAGAGGUGAAGAAAACAGACUCAGGAGGGAACAAAUUCUCCUCUGGACAAAUAAACACACAAAGUAUGAUUUUUAAUUCCAGGCUGCAUCACAGGUCAGAUUUGUGGCUUGAAAUGAUUCAAACGUUGUGCAUCCAGCUUCUUCAGGUUGAAGAUUGGGAUAUGACACACCAGCUUUGUGUAACAGUGCGGCUAAUGGACAUCUGGAUUAUUGUUUUGUUCCCUCAUAAACGUGAGAGAGCAGCUUGCAGAAAGGGGACCUGUGCAGUUACAUGGGCUCGAUGGAGCCAGACAGGGACAGAAGAACACGUGUCGCGUGUGUUUAUCCGGUGGAGAGGCUCAUGAUGCUGAAUGCUGUCAUCAAAGGCUUUGAAGCUUUUGUGGUGGAGCAGGACCUGCAAGGAAAGAUGAUG